rnacentral:rRNA from 1 species
AGUCGAACGAUGACUUCUGUGCUUGCCAGAAUGAUUAGUGGCGAACGGGUGAGUAACACGUGAGUAACCUGCCCUUAACUUCGGGAUAAGCCUGGGAAACCGGGUCUAAUACCGGAUACGACCUCCUGGCGCAUGCCAUGGUGGUGGAAAGCUUUAGCGGUUUUGGAUGGACUCGCGGCCUAUCAGCUUGUUGGUUGGGGUAAUGGCCCACCAAGGCGACGACGGGUAGCCGGCCUGAGAGGGUGACCGGCCACACUGGGACUGAGACACGGCCCAGACUCCUACGGGAGGCAGCAGUGGGGAAUAUUGCACAAUGGGCGAAAGCCUGAUGCAGCGACGCCGCGUGAGGGAUGACGGCCUUCGGGUUGUAAACCUCUUUCAGCAGGGAAGAAGCGAAAGUGACGGUACCUGCAGAAGAAGCGCCGGCUAACUACGUGCCAGCAGCCGCGGUAAUACGUAGGGCGCAAGCGUUAUCCGGAAUUAUUGGGCGUAAAGAGCUCGUAGGCGGUUUGUCGCGUCUGCUGUGAAAGCCCGGGGCUCAACCCCGGGUCUGCAGUGGGUACGGGCAGACU